rnacentral:rRNA from 1 species
UACGUAGGGUGCGAGCGUUAAUCGGAAUUACUGGGCAUAAAGGGUGCGUAGGCGGCUUGUUAAGUCAGGGGUGAAAGUUUUCGGCCCAACCGGAAAAUUGCCUUUGAUACUGGCGAGCUCGAGUGCGUGAGGGGUAACCGGAACGAGCAGUGUAGCGGUGAAAUGCGUAGAUAUUGCUCGGAAGGCCAACGGCGAAGGCAGGUUACUGGUACGCAACUGACGCUGAGGCACGAAAGCGUGGGGAGCAAACAGG